GAUGAAGAACGUAGCGAAAUGCGAUAAGUAAUGUGAAUUGCAGAAUCCAGUGAAUCAUCGAAUCUUUGAACGCACAUUGCGCCCGCCAGCAUUCUGGCGGGCAUGCCUGUUCGAGCGUCAUUUCAACCCUCGACCUCCCUUUGGGGAAGUCGGCGUUGGGGACCGGCAGCACACCGCCGGCCCUGAAAUGGAGUGGCGGCCCGUCCGCGGCGACCUCUGCGUAGUAAACCAACUCGCACCGGAACCCCGACGUGGCCACGCCGUAAAACACCCAACUUCUGAACGUUGACCUCGAAUCAGGUAGGACUACCCGCUGAACUUAAGAAUAUCAAUAAGCGGAGGA
rnacentral:misc_RNA from 1 species